rnacentral:lncRNA from 1 species
CUGUGUUGCCAGUGUGUAGAGGGCAAAAGAAGUGGUAUGGAGGGAGUGAAUUGAUUUUAACCAUAUCAACUGUUUUACAAAUGAUAGGUCUAACUAUUCAAAGGCAGGCUGACAUGAGCUGCUGAAAGGGCUGAUGAACAGAGAGGGAAGGAUAUGAGGAAGGAUAUCUGAAGAAUCAGGCUGGAAGGAAAGAAUUGUCUGCUAAUUGGAAUGGACAUUUGAAAAUCCUGAGAAACUGAGGCAUGAAAAGAGUUGCCAACAGUGAAGUGCUUUUCCUCCCUUGCUGCUCAUUUUUUUUCCCCUAAUGUUGCUGUUGGAGAGGCUUCUCAUUUGUACUGUGAAAGGCCUGGAAAGAAUCCAAGUCAUAUGGAGCUUGACUCCGGAGAAAGUGUUAACAACAGGGUAAGUUGCUAACUGCUUUGCUUUUUCCUGUUCUGUUUUGAUAGUGAAUCAAAAUGGCACUCUGUGGUUCCUGGCCAGAAAAAUCACAGACAGCCAAG